GGGGAAUUUUCCGCAAUGGGGGCAACCCUGACGGAGCAACGCCGCGUGGGGGAGGAAUGUCUGUGGAUUGUAAACCCCUUUUCUCAGGGAAGAAGUUCUGACGGUACCUGAGGAAUCAGCAUCGGCUAACUCCGUGCCAGCAGCCGCGGUAAGACGGAGGAUGCAAGCGUUAUCCGGAAUUAUUGGGCGUAAAGCGUCCGUAGGCGGUUGAUCAAGUCUGCCGUUAAAGACUACAGCUUAACUGUGGGUCGGCGGUGGAAACUGAUGAACUGGAGUGCGGUAGGGGUAGAGGGAAUUCCCAGUGUAGCGGUGAAAUGCGUAGAUAUUGGGAAGAACACCAGUGGCGAAGGCGCUCUACUGGGCCGUAACUGACGCUGAGGGACGAAAGCUAGGGGAGCGAAAGGGAUUAGAUACCCCUGUAGUCCUAGCUGUAAACGAUGGAUACUAGGUGUUGCGCGUAUCGACCCGUGCAGUACCGUAGCCAACGCGAUAAGUAUCCCGCCUGGGGAGUACGCACGCAAGUGUGAAACUCAAAGGAAUUGACGGGGGCCCGCACAAGCGGUGGAGUAUGUGGUUUAAUUCGAUGCAACGCGAAGAACCUUACCAGGGCUUGACAUCCCGCGAAUUCCUGUGAGAGCAGGAAGUGCCUUCGGGAGCGCGGAGACAGGUGGUGCAUGGCUGUCGUCAGCUCGUGUCGUGAGAUGUUGGGUUAAGUCCCGCAACGAGCGCAACCCACGUCCUUAGUUGCCAUCAUUAAGUUGGGCACUCUAGGGAGACUGCCGGGGACAACUCGGAGGAAGGUGUGGAUGACGUCAAGUCAUCAUGCCCCUUACGUUCUGGGCUACACACGUACUACAAUGCUUCGGACAAAGGGCAGCGAGCGUGCGAGCGUGAGCUAAUCCCAUAAACCGAGGCACAGUUCAGAUUGCAGGCUGCAACUCGCCUGCAUGAAGGAGGAGUCGCUAGUAAUCGCAGGUCAGCAUACUGCGGUGAAUACGUUCCCGGGCCUCGUACACACCGCCCGUCACACCAUGGGAGUUGGCCACGCCCGAAGUCGUUACUCUAACCAUUUAUGGAGGAGGGCGCCGAAGGUGGGGCUGAUGACUGGGGUGAAGUCGUAACAAGGUAGCCGUACCGGAAGGUGUGGCUGGAUCACCUCCUUA
rnacentral:rRNA from 1 species